rnacentral:rRNA from 1 species
CCUACGGGAGGCAGCAGUGAGGAAUAUUGGUCAAUGGGCUUACGCCUGAACCAGCCAAGUCGCGUGAGGGAAGACUGCCCUAUGGGUUGUAAACCUCUUUUGUCAGGGAGCAACGCCGGCUACGUGUAGCCGGACUGAGAGUACCUGAAGAAAAAGCAUCGGCUAACUCCGUGCCAGCAGCCGCGGUAAUACGGAGGAUGCGAGCGUUAUCCGGAUUUAUUGGGUUUAAAGGGUGCGUAGGCGGAAUGCCAAGUCAGCGGGAAAAUCUCGGGGCUCAACCUCGCUCCGCCGUUGAAACUGGCGUUCUUGAGUGGGCGAGAGGUAGGCGGAAUGCGUGGUGUAGCGGUGAAAUGCUUAGAUAUCACGCAGAACUCCGAUUGCGAAGGCAGCAUACCGGCGCCCAACUGACGCUGAAGCACGAAAGCGUGGGUAUCGAACAGGAUUAGAUACCCGUGUAGUC